rnacentral:rRNA from 1 species
GACGAACGCUGGCGGCGUGCCUAAUACAUGCGAGUAGAACGCACAGUUUAUACCGUAGCUUGCUACACCAUAGACUGUGAGUUGCGAACGGGUGAGUAACGCGUAGGUAACCUGCCUGGUAGCGGGGGAUAACUAUUGGAAACGAUAGCUAAUACCGCAUAAUAUUAAUUAUUGCAUGAUAAUUAAUUGAAAGGUGCAAUUGCACCACUACCAGAUGGACCUGCGUUGUAUUAGCUAGUAGGUGAGGUAACGGCUCACCUAGGCGACGAUACAUAGCCGACCUGAGAGGGUGAUCGGCCACACUGGGACUGAGACACGGCCCAGACUCCUACGGGAGGCAGCAGUAGGGAAUCUUCGGCAAUGGACGAAAGUCUGACCGAGCAACGCCGCGUGAGUGAAGAAGGUUUUCGGAUCGUAAAGCUCUGUUGUAAGAGAAGAACGGGGGUGAGAGUGGAAAGUUCACACUGUGACGGUAUCUUACCAGAAAGGGACGGCUAACUACGUG